AUCUGUAGCCUUGAAUGGAAUUGACGAAACAGUCACAACACAGUACAGAAGCCGAGGUUCUGAUAUACUCACAUCUACCUCUAGGGAGUCUAGGGUACAAUCAGACUCAUAUGAGCCCACCCCAUCAACACUAUUAGAAAUAAAUCAGACAAUAGCCGAAAACUUCCAGCUUUACAAAGUUCAUGCUGUAACUGCAAGAACACGGAAGCAAAGCUGGAUUCUGCAAUUAGGAAGAUUGAUUUACUAGCACAUGACGUUAAAUUUUUGUUACAAAUAGUACAGCGAAAUGCCAUUUGUGAAGAUGUGGAAACUCCUGAAAAUUUGAAUUUACCAAUAAAUCAGGAGUGUGAAUUGAAAGAAUUUGAUAGAAAAUUGGAAGAUGAGGAUUUUUUUCGAAAUAUGUCCGCAUCUUUGUUAAGUAUUGGAGGCAAAGACAUUAGAGAUUCAACAAGUAGAAUAAUGGCCAAACUAGUCUCCCAUGAGUUAUCUCUUCAAUAUAACUGGACUGGAAGGGGGAAA